CUUUCUUUGCUGGCGACCGGCGCACGGGUGAGUAACACGUAUCCAACCUGCCCUUUACUCGGGGAUAGCCUCUCGAAAGAAAGAUUAAUACCCGAUGGCAUAAUGAUUCCGCAUGGUUUCAUUAUUAAAGGAUUCCGGUAAAGGAUGGGGAUGCGUUCCAUUAGGUUGUUGGUGAGGUAACGGCCCACCAAGCCUUCGAUGGAUAGGGGUUCUGAGAGGAAGGUCCCCCACAUUGGAACUGAGACACGGUCCAA
rnacentral:rRNA from 1 species